rnacentral:rRNA from 1 species
AGUGAACGCUGGCGGUAGGCCUAACACAUGCAAGUCGAAUGGCAGCACAGUAAGAGCUUGCUCUUACGGGUGGCGAGUGGCGGACGGGUGAGGAAUACAUCGGAAUCUACUUUUUCGUGGGGGAUAACGUAGGGAAACUUACGCUAAUACCGCAUACGCCCUACGGGUGAAAGCAGGGGAUCUUCGGACCUUGCGCGAUUGAAUGCGCCGAUGUCGGAUUAGCUAGUUGGCGGGGUAAAGGCCCACCAAGGCGACGAUCCGUAGCUGGUCUGAGAGGAGGAUCAGCCGCACUGGAACUGAGACACGGUCCAGACUCCUACGGGAGGCAGCAGUGGGGAAUAUUGGACAAUGGGCGCAAGCCUGAUCCAGCCAUACCGCGUGGGUGAAGAAGGCCUUCGGGUUGUAAAGCCCUUUUGUUGGGAAAGAAAAGCAGCAGGUUAAUACCCCGCUGUUCUGACGGUACCCAAAGAAUAAGCACCGGCUAACUUCGUG